GGCCAUCUCACUUUGGCUGCCUAUAAAUACAGAACAAUCAAAAGAUGUUCAAGCAAAACUGGGCAAGAAAUAUCACAAAACUCCAAAAUUUCAAAAUCAGAAUCAGAGAAACACAGAAGUAUCUCAAAUGCGAAAGGUAAAGUUAAAAGAGUGAAAUUGACCUUAACAGCAGAUAGAGAGCUU